rnacentral:rRNA from 1 species
GAUGAACGCUGGCGGCGUGCUUAACACAUGCAAGUCGAACGGAAAGGCCUCAGCUUGCUGGGGUACUCGAGUGGCGAACGGGUGAGUAACACGUGGGUGAUCUGCCCUGCACUUUGGGAUAAGCUUGGGAAACUGGGUCUAAUACCGAAUAUGACCACUUCUUGGAUGUUGUGGUGGAAAGCUUUUGCGGUGUGGGAUGAGCCUGCGGCCUAUCAGCUUGUUGGUGGGGUAAUGGCCUACCAAGGCGGCGACGGGUAUCCGGCCUGAGAGGGUGUACGGACACAUUGGGACUGAGAUACGGACCAGGCUCCUACGGGAGGCAGCAGUGGGGAAUAUUGCACAAUGGGCGCAAGCCUGAUGCAGCGACGCCGCGUGGGGGAUGAAGGCCUUCGGGUUGUAAACUCCUUUCGCUAUCGACGAAGCCACUUGUGGUGACGGUAGGUAGAUAAGAAGCACCGGCUAACUACGUGCCAGCAGCCGCCGUAA